rnacentral:misc_RNA from 1 species
GAAGAAAAUGGGUGCUUCUCAAUCAGUCCCUGAGAAGUCCAUUCAUGAAUUCGUGGUGAAGGAUGCCAGAGGACAAGACGUUGACCUUAGUAUCUACCGGGGAAAGGUUCUUCUUGUGGUAAAUGUUGCUUCCAAAUGUGGUUACACAGAUUCGAAUUAUACCCAGCUGACGGAACUUUACAGCAAAUACAAAGAAAAAGGAUUGGAGAUCUUGGCUUUUCCAUGCAAUCAGUUUUUGAAUCAGGAACCUGGAUCCAGCGAGGAGGCACAGGAAUUUGCCUGUACAAGAUUCAAAGCCGAGUAUCCAAUAUUCCAAAAGGUAAAUGUGAACGGCCCUGAUACGGCACCCGUCUAUAAGUUCCUUAAAGCUAGUAAAACUGGAUUUUUGGGGUCUAGAAUAAAGUGGAAUUUUACCAAGUUCUUAGUUGACAAAGAAGGUUUUGCCAUCAAACGCUAUGGCACGACCACUACUCCCUUGGCAAUUGAGGCCGAUAUCAAGGAAGCACUGGGAGAAGUGUAAAUGGGUGAGCUUAUAGUGCGCUUGGACGAAGCUUAGGCCCUUCACCUAGAGACAUUAUUAAGCAAGUAUUGGCUGUAUUUGUACAUUGAAACUGAUCGUGUAUGGAUUAUUUGACUUGCUUCAGCUGGAUCAAAUUAAG